rnacentral:ncRNA from 1 species
CAGAGUAGGAAGCCCCGCGUAAAGUGCCGCCAGGAUGGGGAGUUGCGUGACGGACGAAGGAUCCAUUUCCGCGAUGGGGUUUCCGCACCCGCUGU